rnacentral:tRNA from 1 species
AUUUAUAUAGUUUAUAAAAACAUUACAUUUUCAUUGUAAAAAUAAAAAAAUUUUUUUUUUAUAAAUA